GGAUCCUGGACGAGCUGUGUCCCCUCUUUGGGACUCAGUUUCCUCUCCGGGAAAAGGUGAGGAGGCUCUCUGAUAGCGUUCUUCAGGGAUUCAACGGCGAGAUGUGUAGAAAGCCCGCAACUGCUGCCGCUGCUGCUGUUGUCACUGCUAUUAAUUAGUGAGAAACAGAGCAGGAUCGCAAGAGGCGGAGGGCGGGACAGGCCUCCCGGCCGGAAGGAACGGCGUGCGAUUCAGGACACGCGCAUGCGCGCUGAACAAGGAACCUGGGGCGCGGCAGCCUCCGCAGACGCUCCCCUACCCGGGGAGCUGCUCAGCAAGGGCCACAGCACAGGUGCUGCCAGUGUUGCUGGUCCAAGGACCACGCUUUGAGGACCACCGUCUUAGGGGAUUCACUCGGGGGACAUCCUUCUGCUGGAAACCCAGGUUGGAAAAACGCCACCGUAACCCUCGGGAGUAUCGCCAGUGCCUUCCAGCACCGACAGUCGAAGGUUCUUCUGCAUAUCUGACCUGAAUCUCUCCUGCUGCGUUGCUCCUCGGCCAGGGUGGAGACAGUCCGAGGAUUCCAGGGACCCCACUGCCGAAGCCAAGCCUCUAAAAAAGCUCCACUGCACCACCUCCCUCGUAUCGCUGCUUGAUAAAGAAACCGAGGCUAGAGAGCAGAGGAAACGACUCAUCCAAGGUCACACAGGUAGGAAACAACAGAGUUGGGAUUUGGGCCCGGGCAUAACGGGCCUUAAAAGCCUGGUCACUUCAUUCAAGGUGGCACCUGUUCCCCGGGGGGCUGUGCUGAGGACAUGUCCCCACCCAAGAGCCAGACCCAGGCUGAAUGGAAGCAGGUCGUGAAAGGGACCUGCCAAGCUAGAAGUCUAGCAUUGGGGGUGGCCAAGAAAAAUCAACCCCAUCCCCUGCAGGCUUCAGGGUGUGGGAGCCCGGGUCCCUGGGGGCUUCUUGGGACCAGCAUCAGUUCCCAAUCAGCUCAGCUGCUCCAAAAGGGAGGCCAGCGGCCACCCCCAGCCUCCCCCACAGGCCCUGAUGGGGUUAAUCCUGGCUGUUGACUGGUUGGCCCCCUGCGAUCUCACCCAGCUGGGUUUCUUGCUGCAAAAACAUCUCCCUUCUGGUAGAUGGGCUGGGACGGCCAGGCUGAGACCCCUAAGAUCUCAGGAGCCUUCACUGGGCAGCCCCUGACAAGACUCCGUGAAUGUUGGUCACUUUCGACCAAGGCUGAUAUUCUCAACGUUAAAUCAGUGACCCAGCAGGGGCACUGACCACUCUGAACAGAGGUCGGCGCUCAGAGGCUCAGGACAGCCCUGGAUAUAGCUGGCACUCUGCGGGGCAAGAGAGAUAAGCCAGAGACCUCGCUGGGCCCCUGAGCAGAGGAGAGAGGCACAGAAGUCAUGCAGGUCCCAAACCUUUGGUGGCAGACAGGACUGCCUCGUCCCCGUGCGUCCCUCGCUGCCUCUCGCUGGCUUGGUACCCUGGGGCAGCACCCGCUUAGACGGACGGCUUGGACACAGCUGGUGAGUGCAGCAGGGGCCAGGACACCUGGAGGGGCUUCUCACACAGCCAGCGGCUCCCCAGACACUGGGACCAUCGUCCAGGACCUCCUCCCGGAGGCGCGGCUGGAGGGAGCCUGAGCCCACUCCGCUAAAUCUGGCCAGCUCACUGCUGGCCAGAACCGCCCGCCAGCCCAGGGAACCUACAAUUUCACCUCAUUUGGAGGUGAUGCUUCUAAAUUUAGUGGCGUGGGCUCUCAGGGCUGGGUGGUUUUUAUGCCUGAGUCCCUCACUUAGGGCUCUUUUAUAUCCGCUCAAAUGCCAGGCAGGGCUUAGUUUGCUUAUAGGAGUUUCCAAAAUAGUCCCUUUGGUUUAGCACGAAAGGAAAUGGUAAAAUAGCCCAGGAUGAGGAAUGUGAGUUUAUACCUAAGAGGGAUGGGCGACCCGCGGAGGCCGCUCUGGGAACCAGACUACUGUCUGCACCAGAUGGAGGGCAACUCCCUCGGUUCACCGGCGAGCACGCCCAGAGUGGUCACGUGGCUUGCGCGGAUCACCCAGAGGUGAAUGGAAGGGCCAGAAGAAUCCACGCCCCUCCCCCCUGCCAGCUCCACGGCUGCAGACACCUCCAGGCCUCUGCCCAGGCCGUGUCCUCUCCCUCCCUGGCACGCUCUUCCCCCAGGUCUCCCGGGAGGAUCCCUCCGGGCAUGAGAUCCCAGCAGAAAGGUCACCGCCUCAGAGAGGGCCUCUCUGGUGCCCCCUGGCGACAGCGGCCUCACUCUUCACCCUGUUUCAAAUCCUGCAGAGGAGUCACUGCCGUCCCAAAUUGUCUUGUCAAGGUGCUUGGCAAUUGUGUGGCCCUCACAGGAGUCCCAAGCUCCGUGGGGACAGGGACUUUUUGGUCUUGCUCACAGCCGUAUGUCCCAGGGCCUCACCAAGUAGGGGACCCCGGUAAGUACUGGUCCGUAAGUGAUUGCUUGAAUAACUGAACGAUUGAAGGACAUCUCUUCAGACCUGUGUCUAGGGCUCACUUACUUGAUUUGUUCAUUCAACACACACACAUAUCGAGUGCCUACUGAAUGCAGGCACUGCGCAUACGGCUGUGAACUAGUCCAGUGGGAGACAGGAAUUAGGGUAUGAGGCUGGACUGUGAUAGGGAACUAGAGGCGUGGGGGGCAGACAAGGAUCCCUCACCCAGCCAAAGGGGAGUGCCCGGGGAGACCCCCUGGGGGAAGCGAUAUGUUGAAAUCUAAAGGAGGGGGAAGAAUUGGCAGGGAGAGAGAAUGGGAUGGAAGAGUGUGCCAGGUGUUGGGAACAGCAUGUGCAAAGGCUCAGAGAUAGGGUCAACUAGAUGAAAUGCAAUUAGAUGAACUUAGUACAGUGUGGGUGGCUAGAGCAUCAGGUACCAAAGAGGAUCCCUGAGGGGCUGAGUGGGGACCAGGCCUCUAUGGGGACGGGGGUUUAAGCUGCAUCCAGGAAGAAGUAGGCAGGACAGGCCUCCAGCACCCUCUGGAUUUGGUAAUGGCGCCCUUGAGUUCGUUCACUUACUGAAUAUGCCCCUACUGCACACCUGACCAGACAAUGCUGUGUCUCCAUAGACAAUGAAUGAGUGCCUGCUGCAUGCCAGGCCGUCGAACCCCGCACCUCCGUCCAGGGGCUAGGGGCAGUCACACUGGAGACGCCUCUGUCCCUUUGGCCCAAGGCCCAUGUCCCCUGGGCCAGCACUGACUGCCGUCUGGGGCAAGCUCAGAUACCCUGUAUGGCCUACCCCAGCUUGACCUGGGUUUUUGCCCUCUGCACUCAAUCCUUCACCCACCCACCCCUUGCUUCCGCCAUAGACAAGACCCAGACAUUUGAUGGUCCCUGAGAGGGAAAAUCCCACAGCCAAGCCACAGAGGACAGAAGCCACGUUAGCUCUGACACCCGCCAGCUCGGGCUCCCCUUCUCUCUGCGGAGCCCCUGGGGCCCCGCCCCUACCAGAUGCUUUCAGAUGCUUCUCUACCCGCUGCAAGGAAUCUGCUCACCUCUCCUCAGCCAGGAAAGCGUGCCCAGGGGAUCUCUGCAUGUGAUCUGGAACAAGUUUCCUCCUCCCUGAGCCUCUGUCUCCCUGUCUGUAAAGUGGGAGGGCUGGGCUAGAAUUCGGGGUCCCCCAAGCACAGGCCCAUCUGAGCCAGGUGAGGAAUGCAUAGCAGACACCGUGAUUCACCUGGCAGGAGAGUCAUUCUUGCCUUAGCCCCCUUUCUCUCCUGGCUCCCCAGCCAUAUGACACUUGUCCCCCCCCCCGCCCUCCCCCGUUCAGCUGAGUUCAGAGCUGGCGCCAGGCACACGCUCCGAUCGCAUCAGGUGUUUUGUUGCCUUUCUUUUAAGGUGAACUUCCGUUUAGAGCAAACCGUCUUGUGUACGAUAUAGAGUGGUUUUCUUUAAGUGAAAGGGUGAUGGAUUUGAAGGACGCUUGGUUUAAGUAGGGCAGGUAGGAACCCAGCUUCUUGGAAGCCCACGUUUCUGGGUCCCGCCGUGGAAGUGAGACCGGGGGGGGGAGGGGCACACCUAGGUGUGCCCCUGCAGAUGGCCUGAUGGAGUCAGAUGAGCAGACAGCACCGGUUUCUAGUGGAAAAGAAGAGGAAGCAGCAUCUUGGGGAGCCCUACCUGUCCCCCCAGAAUUCAUGGUCCCAGGGCUGCAGGGCAAGUGGAAACUUCCUGGUGGUUCAAGACGAGGCAUGGGGGUCGGGACCCAGGAUCCAAGAGGGCCCCUUGCCUCAGUUUAUCACACAGUCUACAGUCCCCUGUGACCUUCCUGCCCAGGGCAGCCCUGGGAGGUGUCCACGACCCGCCCCAGCUCAGGCCGGGAGGCACAAAAGGACCAGUCGCGUGAGUGGACAGAUCGGCUAUCUCAUCAGGCUUCACGAUGCACCUGUGACCAUCUCACAGCUGAAAACCCUGCGCGAGGCCACAAACGGCCAAACGGCCAAGUGCGAGGGAGCCCAAAGGGCUCAGCCACACGGAGGAAAUUUCCAUGGCAGGAAUUAGGAAUAUGGUUUUGAGGAAUAAUGACACGGGAAGAUAGAAGAUGUUGAAAGUAAGAUGUUGAGGACAACAGACCAAGAUGUGAACUAUACACGACACGCUCUCCGCUUUAUUUCUCCAUCAAUGCCUUACCAGUGUUCUACCGUGGGCACGCAUUCCCUCACAAUCAGAAAAAAAGAAAAAAGGUGAUCUGAAGAAAACAGAAAGAUUGUACACGUGUUGCAUAGUAAUCAAGCUGCCAAGCGGGCUCUGUGUGUCCUCCGACCUAGAGAACGAUGCCUUUCAGGAUGAAGCUGGGGUCACAAGAGAUACUUUUCUCUUAAAAAAGAAAGAAAGAAGGAAAAACAAACUUUUAAAGGUCCACGAAUAUCAUCUACACUCCCAGCUAACGCCAGGGGGCUUUUACGAGGUAAAGAUGACUCAUGAAUCUCUGUGAAAUAUCCAGAGGGUGUUUUGAUUUAAAUGCCCCCCCUCAGGGGCGCCUGGGUGGCGCAGUCGGUUAAGCGUCCGACUUCAGCCAGGUCACGAUCUCGCAGUCCGUGAGUUCGA